AUUCCAUGAUUUGGACAUUUUUCGAAGCAUAUCUUUAAACCUCUCCCAAGCCUCAUGAAAGCUCUCCAAUUUAGAUUGUUGGAAUGUGGUUAUGUCAUGCUUAAGUUU
rnacentral:snoRNA from 1 species